AUUGAACGCUGGCGGCAGGCUUAACACAUGCAAGUCGAGCGAGUGGCGGACGGGUGAGUAAUGUCUGGGAAACUGCCCGAUGGCGGGGGAUAACUACUGGAAACGGUAGCUAAUACCGCAUACUAUCGGAUGUGCCGAUAUGGGAUUAGCUAGUAGGUGGGGUAAUGGCUCACCUAGGCGACGAUCCGUAGCUGGUUUGAGAGGACGACCAGCCACACGGGAACUGAGACACGGCCCAGACUCCUACGGGAGGCAGCAGUGGGGAAUAUUGCACAAUGGGGGAAAGCCUGAUGCAGCCAUCCCGCGUGUAUGAAGAAGGCCUUCGGGUUGUAAAGCACUUUUGGCGGGGAGGCGGUACCCGCAGAAGAAGCACCGGCUAACUCCGUGCCAGCAGCCGCGGUAAUUC
rnacentral:rRNA from 1 species